rnacentral:rRNA from 1 species
GUACAUUUGCCGAAACCUCAGCAAGCCCGUUUCUACAGGGCUGAUCAUGCGACUCUAAAGAAAUUGAUCUUUUGGUUGAACCCUCUAAUUGUUCCAACUGAAAUGCUGGUUAGCCAUUACCGCUAGCAACACCUUGAGUCUGCGGGGAAACUCGAAGCCCGGGUCACCUGCAGCCAGAGAUAACCGAUGUAAAAUCUGUUCCUGGCUCACAGACUAAAUAAUGGUGGGCACCGCGUUUAGUACCACGGUGCUUCAGAUAUAGCCGUGUCUUUAGGGAUUCUAAAGUCCUACUGAUGUACGAAUUUCUGCCCGUCAUGUCUGGAGAAUAUAGUAGUCCAUAUGCUUAGAUUUUAUUAUAGAAUAUAACGGUAGGGCAUAUACUAUAUAUCAACCUCCAAUAUCGUCUAAAGUCUCGAUUGGCUGCCAAAAACGCGGGUUGCAUGUGCACCGUGUAUUAACGAGCACACGGGGAUUCUUACAUUAACAAAAUCUCGUUCCGUAGGUGAACCUGCGGAAGGAUCAUUA